UACGUAGGGGGCAAGCGUUAUCCGGAAUCACUGGGCGUAAAGGGUGCGUAGGCGGCUAAUCAAGCCAGGGGUGAAAGGCUACGGCUUAACCGUAGUAAGCCUUUGGAACUGAUUAGCUUGAGUGCAGGAGAGGAGAGUGGAAUUCCUAGUGUAGCGGUGAAAUGCGUAGAUAUUAGGAGGAACACCAGUGGCGAAGGCGACUCUCUGGACUGUAACUGACGCUGAGGCACGAAAGCGUGGGGAGCAAACAGGAUUAGAUACCCUGGUAGUCCACGCCGUAAACGAUGAGUGCUAGGUGUCGGGGGUUCACACCCUCGGUGCCGGAGUUAACGCAAUAAGCACUCCGCCUGGGGAGUACGGUCGCAAGACUGAA
rnacentral:rRNA from 1 species